rnacentral:piRNA from 1 species
UCACUACUGAUAGUUGAGGCAUACUUAUU